ACAACGCCAAAUAAAAGCAAGCGUUUACAAUUGACGUCACGGUGGAAAUCAGCAGCAUUGUAUUGAAAACUUAGCUGAGCAUAAGAGUGGAAUCAGUGCAGCAUACAAUAUGAAUUUUAAAUUGGGAACGGAGCAUUGUAAAUAUCGUAUAAACAAGACCCGGAACUUUCCACAGCUGGAACAGAAUUUAUGCGGGUCUGCUAAAUGUGUCAGAAAAAUAAAUCCGGUUUUAUUUUGGAGAUCCUUCAGAACUUACUCUGUUCCAUGACACUGCUCACCGAAUUGUUGAUCUCAGCCACCACGACGAUCUCCUCGUUCUCCUCCGUCUCCUCGGGCACCAUCAUCAGGUUGUUGUUCAUCAGAUAGGUCUCCAUCCGGUGAUCCCCCUGGCCACCUCCCUCAGCGGUGUUGCUGCUGCGCAAUCGGUGGGUGAACGAGGAUCGGGAUCGUGUCAUAUACGAGGAUCUGGUGGUGGAGACCCUUCUCAGGACCCCGCGUCCGUAGAACAGCAUCCUUACCUCGACGCGAAACCGCGGAUGGGUUGCCGCAUACAGAGCUGGUCCCUCCUUGAUGUUGUUGUAUAUGGCAAUUGGACACUUGAUGAGCAUCAGAAAGUCGCAGAUGGCCAGGUUCAUCACCAGAAUGUUGGCCGGAGUCCGCAGCGAUUUGCGGUUAGCGAACAUAAAGA